rnacentral:rRNA from 1 species
UACUCCUACGGGAGGCAGCAGUGAGGAAUAUUGGUCAAUGGUCGGAAGACUGAACCAGCCAUGCCGCGUGCAGGAAGAAUGCCUUAUGGGUUGUAAACUGCUUUUAUAUGGGAAGAAUAAGGCGUACGUGUACGUUGAUGACGGUACCAUAUGAAUAAGCAUCGGCUAACUCCGUGCCAGCAGCCGCGGUAAUACGGAGGAUGCGAGCGUUAUUCGGAAUCAUUGGGUUUAAAGGGUCUGUAGGCGGGCUAUUAAGUCAGGGGUGAAAGGUUUCAGCUUAACUGAGAAAUUGCCUUUGAUACUGGUAGUCUUGAAUAUCUGUGAAGUUCUUGGAAUGUGUAGUGUAGCGGUGAAAUGCUUAGAUAUUACACAGAACACCGAUUGCGAAGGCAGGGGACUAACAGACAAUUGACGCUGAGAGACGAAAGCGUGGGGAGCGAACAGGAUUAGAUACCCUGGUAGUCCACGCUGUAAACGAUGGAUACUAGCUGUUUGGCGCAAGCUGAGUGGCUAAGCGAAAGUGAUAAGUAUCCCACCUGGGGAGUACGCACGCAAGUGUGAAACUCAAAGGAAUUGACGGA